rnacentral:rRNA from 1 species
GAGUUUGAUCAUGGCUCAGGAUGAACGCUGGCGGCGUGCUUAACACAUGCAAGUCGAACGAACCUUCGGGUUAGUGGCGGACGGGUGAGUAACGCGUGGGAAUCUGCCCUCAGGAGGGGGAUAACGGUUGGAAACGACCGCUAAUACCCCAUAUGCCGAGAGGUGAAAUGAAUUUCGCCUGAGGAUGAGCCCGCGUCUGAUUAGCUUGUUGGUGAGGUAAUGGCUCACCAAGGCUUCGAUCAGUAGCUGGUCUGAGAGGAUGAUCAGCCACACUGGGACUGAGACACGGCCCAGACUCCUACGGGAGGCAGCAGUGGGGAAUUUUCCGCAAUGGGCGAAAGCCUGACGGAGCAACGCCGCGUGAGGGACGAAGGCCUCUGGGCUGUAAACCUCUUUUCUCAAGGAAGAAGAUAUGACGGUACUUGAGGAAUAAGCCACGGCUAAUUCCGUGCCAGCAGCCGCGGUAAUACGGGAGUGGCAAGCGUUAUCCGGAAUUAUUGGGCGUAAAGCGUCCGCAGGCGGCUUUUCAAGUCUGCUGUUAAAACGUGGAGCUUAACUCCAUCAUGGCAGUGGAAACUGAUUGGCUUGAGUAUGGUAGGGGCAGAGGGAAUUCCCGGUGUAGCGGUGAAAUGCGUAGAUAUCGGGAAGAACACCAGUGGCGAAGGCGCUCUGCUGGGCCAUUACUGACGCUCAUGGACGAAAGCCAGGGGAGCGAAAGGGAUUAGAUACCCCUGUAGUCCUGGCCGUAAACGAUGAACACUAGGUGUCGGGGGAAUCGACCCCUUCGGUGUCGUAGCUAACGCGUUAAGUGUUCCGCCUGGGGAGUACGCACGCAAGUGUGAAACUCAAAGGAAUUGACGGGGGCCCGCACAAGCGGUGGAGUAUGUGGUUUAAUUCGAUGCAACGCGAAGAACCUUACCAGGGCUUGACAUCCUGCGAACCUUUAAGAAAUUAGAGGGUGCCUUCGGGAACGCAGUGACAGGUGGUGCAUGGCUGUCGUCAGCUCGUGUCGUGAGAUGUUGGGUUAAGUCCCGCAACGAGCGCAACCCACGUUUUUAGUUGCCAGCAUUUAGUUGGGCACUCUAGAAAGACCGCCGGUGAUAAACCGGAGGAAGGUGUGGAUGACGUCAAGUCAUCAUGCCCCUUACGUCCUGGGCUACACACGUACUACAAUGCUACGGACAAAGGGCAGCAAACUCGCGAGAGCUAGCAAAUCCCAUAAACCGUGGCUCAGUUCAGAUCGUAGGCUGCAACUCGCCUACGUGAAGUAGGAAUCGCUAGUAACCGCAGGUCAGCAUACUGCGGUGAAUACGUUCCCGGGCCUUGUACACACCGCCCGUCACACCAUGGAAGUUGGCCACGCCCGAAGUCGUUACUUUAACCCUUGUGGAGAAGGACGCCGAAGGUGGGGCUGAUGACUGGGGUGAAGUCGUAACAAGGUAACC